rnacentral:tRNA from 1 species
GGAUGGGUGGCCGAGUGGUCUAAGGCGCACGCCUGGAAAGUGUGUAUACGGGAAACUGUAUCGUGAGUUCGAAUCUCAUCCCCUCCGCCA